UUAAAGGCAGGAUUAAGAAAAAAACAAACUGAUAAACAAAAUUUUAAAGAUUAAAUUUGCUACACACAAAUCCAAAAUAUUCAUAAAGAAUUGAUUUGUAAAGAAACUCAUUCAUGUGGUUAAGAGCACUGGCUGCUCUUCCAGAAGACCCAGUUCUAUUCCCAGGACCCACAGGGCAAUUUACAAGUGUCUAUAAUGCUUCCUCCUACUCUUCCUCCUCUUCCUCCUCCUGUUCUUCCUCCUCUUCCUCCUCCUCCUUCUCUUCCUCCUCCUCCCCUCCCCCUCCUCCUCUCCUCCUUUUCCUCAUCUUCCUCUUCCUUUCCUCUUCCUCUUCUUUUUCUUCUCCUUUUCUUCUUCUCCUCCUCCUCUUCUCCUCCUUCUCUUUUCUCUUUUUUACAUUGAUUUGUUUGUUUGUUUGUUUAAUGUGUGGGUAUAUGCAAUUGCCAGUGCAUGA
rnacentral:lncRNA from 1 species